rnacentral:misc_RNA from 1 species
UCUUCGUGCAGACGAAAACAUCUGUCGCAGUGACACAGAAUGGGGUCUUGGAACCAGGUGAAUUUACCUGUAUAACACGAUCAGGUAUAGAAACGCGGGUGUGUUGGUCGAAGACAUUUGUGUACUUUUACAUACACUGACCCGUCAAAACACUUUAUGAAGGAUAAGUGUUCAGACUCCCAUUUACAAGGAAUCACAAGAGGAAACAUUGAAGGGAUAAACGGUAGAGUUACCUGGUUAAACAUCACCGUGACAAACGGCGCUUUAGGCGCCUGUUUCAGCGACAGGCAAGGAUACAGUACCAUGGUAUAACACAACGAAUUAAACUGGAGAUCCAUGCUACAACCAGAAACAUAUAUUGAAGACCUUUGAAGAAUAUGAAGAGUUGCAUUAGAGGGUGACAUUCAAAGGAUAUCGACGUACAAAUUUACAAGUCCUUUGGCACCGAACUUUUUGAAGGACUAUCUACAAUAUUGAUAGAAAUUCAUUACAGGACUUUGUACGCCACAUCUACCUCAUCUAUCUACUAAAUAGGCCACAGUUCCUUUGAAUCAAGAAUGUUAUCAAUGUCUGUUUGUGAUGAGUGACUUUUGACAUCUAUCAUGUUGAAGUGUUUGGUCCAAGUUGUCGCAUCGGCUGCAAGUGUUGACAAGAUUUCCAGCAGGUGAAGCUGAUUGACCAAUACCUAACCCUAAGCUUCAGCCAUGGCACACUGCAUCUCUCAGGGAAACACCAGUAGACUCUAUGUUAUUUGUGUUAUAGUCAUCUCUACAAUAAUAGGAACAGUUGUUUCGAACAGCCCUCCUCAGCUGAGAAACUUUGGUGGUGUUAUUAUAUGGCCCGAAGAUACACCAAUAGAUACCGUUCUUGGCAACCUGACAGCGGUAGAUUUUGAUGGACCAGAAGAUCUGACGUUCAAAACGUCAACAGAUGAAACCAAGAAGCUGGUGUCCCUGAGUGCUCCACGGAAAGUUGAUGCCGACACAUGGAUUGUUGACAUUGUCCUUAAAGCUGCACUAGACAGAGAUUAUGAACCUAGUGAAAGAAAACUUUUUUUCUCAAUAGACGAUUCUACAAGUGAGGUACCGGCCCGAGUAUCAUUAUUUAUCAGGGAUGUGAAUGAUGUCAGGCCGCAGUUUAAAGAUAUGCCAUACAAAGCCACAAUAAACGAGAGUGAGGUUGCAGGGUCAGUAGUUUUCACUGGGGUCAGCGCCACUGACCCCGACAAUGGCAGGGGAGGAACCAUACAGUAUUCCAUGGAGACGGACGCCCAGGCUGCAGACGAGGACUACCGCACCACCUUCCAAAUUGACCAAUACUCUGGGGUCAUCAAAAUCAUCAGGCCACUGGAUUAUGAGAAGCAUAAUUUCUACCAGUUCAAAAUCAAGGCAGUUGAUGGCUAUGGGUUGGAAGGAGAGCCGGCAGAUUUUGUGGUGACUGUUCUGGAUGUCCAAGACACUCCACCGUACUUCAUCAAUCUGCCGUACAGCGCGGAGGUGGAUGAAAAUGUCACAGUGGGAACAGCAGUGCAGCAAGUGUCUGGCUUAGAUGGAGACAGGGGAAUUCCUAACAACCUCACAUACAGUUUUGUUAGUGGUGACUAUCAGAACUUUGACCUUGAUCCCCACUCUGGAUGGGUGACUGUAAAACACCCUUUGGAUCGGGACUCCCAGAAUGUGAGGAACAGAGGGGGCGUGUAUGCCUUCUAUGUAGAGGCAGCAGAGCAGAUUCCACUCGGACAAGUGAACACCAACCAGACUACAGAGACUACCCUUGUCACCAUCACCGUGCGGGACAUCAACGACAACGACCCAGUGUUCAGCCAGCCCUCCUAUAAUGCCAGUAUCCUGGAAAACAUGCAGAAUGGGGUACCCAUCACAUUCCAGCAGGAAGUCAUGCGAGUUUCGGAUGCAGAUCAGGGAACCAACAGCCACUUUGAACUGCACAUACAGAAGGAUGGGCAGCCCUACGAGGACUUCUUGCCACUGCCCUCUGAGGUGUAUGCCGAGUCCACGGUCCUCAUCAGAGUCAACAACUCCCAGGAACUGGACUAUGAGAAGAACCACCAGCUGGUGUUUGAGGUGGUUGCCAAGGAGAUGGAUACAGAAGAAAGGCGAUCAAGCACUGCAACUGUUACAGUCAACAUUGAGGAUAUGAAUGACAAUGCUCCUGUGUUUGCCAAUGACACCUAUCUUGUGACGCUCAAGGAGAAUACUCCCAUUGAAACUAGUGUUGCACUUAUCAAUGCUACCGAUGAAGAUUCUGGCAUCUUUGGCACUGUGAGAUACACAAUCCGAGGAGGAAACAAUAAAUUUCGUAUUGGCCUUGAAUCAGGAGUCAUCUAUGUAUCUGGUGACCUUGACCGUGAGACAACAGAUGAAUAUUACCUGACUGCAGAGGCCAAAGAUGGUGGUGGCCUGAGAACACCAGUGGAGGUGAAGGUUGUCAUUGAGGAUGUCAAUGACAAUGCUCCAAUGUUCCGGCGUCAAGCAUAUGAGGGCACUGUGAGAGAACGUGAUGUAGACUUCCUCAGGCCGUUGAUGGUGGAGGCUCUGGAUGACGAUGAAGCCUUCACCAACAACAGUGAGGUCCGGUACAGAAUUGAUAGUGUUACCCCUGGACUUGAGAGUAACUUCAGCAUUGAUCCAGUCACUGGCAGGAUCUGGGUGCAAGAUCCUCUGGACUAUGAAAAACUUGACCCUACAUUGAAGGGCAAGGUCACCAUGCAGGUCAUGGCCUAUGACCUUGGGGAGCCACAGAAGACAAGCCUAGUUCAAGUUGAUAUCACAGUGGAGGAUGUGAAUGACAAUGCUCCCAUCUUUGAAGAGGACCUCUACACUGUUAGUGUGCCAGAGAAUUCAACUCAAGGUUCAGUCCUAUUAAAUGUAACUGCAACUGAUCUUGAUAUUGGGAGUCCCAACAACGAAUUCAUCUAUAGAAUUGAAAGUGGUGCUAUGGAUAAAUUUCGAAUCGAUUUCGAGACUGGUAGUGUAUUUGUAGAAACAGGUGCCAAGCUAGAUCGAGAGGACAAAAAUGUUUACAUAAUGAAUGUGUCAGCCAUUGACAAAGGCACCCCACCUCAGACCGGCAGGUGUGUUGUCAUCAUUCACCUGACGGAUGUUAAUGAUAAAUUACCUGUAUUUACACCUGAGAGCCAAUCAAAAACAGUGAUGGAGAAUCUGGGUAUAGGAACAACUGUACUGACAUAUAACGCUACAGAUGCUGAUUUGAACAGUGAACUUGAAUACAGUGUGUUGAAGUCACUGACAAAGGCCUACAACGACCGCAAUGAUGAAGUGGAUGUAGUGGCUAGCAACAUAACAGAGUAUUUUGAUGUGUAUCCCAACAAUGGCACAGUGUAUGUGGCCUCCCAACUGGACAGAGAGACCGCUGAGAGGGUUGUCAUCAAGGUCCUAGUGCGAGACAUCAAUGCAUGGGAACCAGUGGAUCAGACUGCCACAGCAACCUUGACAGUGACGUUGGAGGACUACAAUGACAAUGCCCCACUCUUCCUCCCGACCCCGAUGUACAGCGCCAACAUCUCCGAGGGCCAGGAUGUUGACAGCGAGGCUCUACGGGUGGAAACGGUCGACCCAGACAAGAACCAGCAGGUCACAUACACCAUCAAUGACAGAUUUGAGGCCUUCAAGAUUGAUCCUAGGACAGGUAUCAUCCGUCUGAAGCGAAAGCUGGACAGAGAGGCAAGAUCAUCACUGCAGUUCACUGUCAUCGCCACAGACAAUGGUGUUCCUGCUCAGAGCUCAUCAGCGGUGGUGUUUGUGACAGUGUUGGACACGAAUGACAACUCUCCGGUCUUCCUGCCUCAUAACCGCACUGCCCGUGUCUCGGAGGAUGCAAAUGUUGGACACGUAGUGGUCACCCUUGGUGCCAUAGACAGCGAUAUCGGAAACUUCGGAAAAGUCUUUUAUUUGCUUGAUGGGGUCAACAAUGACGGAACAUUUGUCAUUAAUGAGAGCAAUGGUGAGAUAACUGUAGACAAACCUCUUGACAGAGAAUCCCAAGAUGAGUAUACCCUGGUUGUGGUUGCCAGGGACAACCAGAAGGAACCUCAAGACCAGAGAUCAAAUAGAACAUCAAUACUCAUCCAAAUCGAGGACGUCAAUGAUAAUGCUCCACAAUUUGCUGUCAUUGGUUCUCAAAGUAUCCCAGAGUCGUCUCCCCUAGGUAGCAGUGUGUACCAGAUUGUUGCCACCGACAAUGAUGCUGGCGACAAUGGAACUGUUGUGUACAGUCUUGAAGGUGAUUCUAAUGCUACCAACAACAGGAACCAGGCGUUGUUUGGCAUCAACGCCGUGACAGGUAUCAUCUCCGUCCAGGCUGACCUUCACAACACAGUGGGAGUGAGGUAUGUCACAGUGAGGGCCAAGGAUAUGGGGUCGCCGCAACUCUCCAACUCCACAACGCUCUUCCUCCAAGUUCUGGAUGUCAAUGAUGAUGCUCCCCGAUUUGUGGUUCCUGAUCCAGACAAUCCUGUGGUUGUUAUUAAAGAGGAUCAGCCAGUUGGAACACACAUCAUUACGCUGCAAGCACAGGAUGACGACUUUGGCCGUAACGGGGAAGUUGUGUAUACACUGGUGGAGACUGAGUCGCGCCUGGACUGGCAGAAGUUCCAUGUGGACAGCCUCACAGGCAACCUCACCAACAGGGAGGUGCUGGACCGGGAAACACAUGAAAGCUAUGAGCUGCUGGUCCGAGCCACCGAUCGGGGUGUUCCCAGGAACUACUCUACGGACCUCACUCUCACUGUGCGUGUCAAGGACGUGAAUGACGAGAAGCCCAAGUUUGACCGAACUCUUUACCCCACACCCUACCCUGUUGCAGUGGCGGAGGAGAGUGACAGCGCUUGUGCUGGAAAUAUCAGCAUUGCGAAGGACAACGACAUCAACUUCAACUUUACCAUAAUCUGUUACUAUAUUUAUGCUGAAGAAAUCCCAGGAGCGUUCACCCUAAACAAGACAGGUGAGCUGUGCCUGAAGAAGAAACUGGAUAGAGAACAGUUAAAAUCAACCCACCUCAUCAUCCAAGCUUCUCCCUUCUGUUACGAGGACAUCAAACCCAAGACAUUUGUGCGGCCAGCGCCUGGUGAACAGCCUCAGGGCUAUGACAGCAGUGACCUGACACUGCUGUGGGUGAACGUGACCAUCAAAGAUAUCAAUGACAACCCGCCACAGUUUAACAGGAAGGACUUGGUGCUUGGUGUUACGAGGAGCACUCAGUUCGGACAGAUUAUAUUUGAGUUGAAGACUGAGGUGACUGACAAAGACUCUCGUACAUGGGGAGUGAACAAAUUCGACCUUUCGGGCAACAUCGGCAUUGAACCUGAGGCGCUUCGUAAUGAGCUGGCUGAGAUGGGAGUAGACAAACCAUUCCUUGUCUUUCCAAAUGGUUCCCUGAAGACAAACACAUACUUCAAGCCAACCAUGUUUGGUUCCUUCUUGCUCAAUCUUGCAGUUUAUGAUAAGGGAGGCCUCAAUGAUUCAGCUCAGCUCAAGAUAUCUCUCAUCAAUGAUGACCAAAGACUGAAGGUUGUAUUUAGGAGGAGGCUGGAAGACGUCAGCUCAGUCAAGGAUUUCUUUACAGAGCGGUUACGGAAUAUCACAGGUUACAGGAUCGUAGUAGACAAGAUCUCCACGCAUGAAAAUGAUCAAGGAAAACCAGAGAUAGAAAAGACUGACAUGUUGAUACAUGGAGAAGACCCCAAAACUGAUAAAGUCAUACCUGCUGAGGAUCUUCUAAAGUCCAUAGAUUUCAAUGCAGAGCAUAUGAUAGGCAUUCUGAACGAUUACAAUAUUGAGAGAAUAGUGCCAACAAGUUCCACAACACCACAAAACUCCUCAGAGAAAGAGCUGAAGAUGGCCCUUAUCCUGGUGUCCGUUAUCCUUGGCAUGUUGCUGGUGGUCGUCAUUGUCACAUUCUACAUGAGUCGGAGGAAGUACCAAAGAAAGUUGAAAGCUGCAACAGCCAUGGCUUAUGUCACUCAUAAUGGAGCUGGUUCCCAGGACUCGGACCUGUACAAGCUGGAGAUGCCAGGCACCAACAUCCACUCUUACGAGAAACCAAGAAUGUAUGAGGGUCAGACGAGAUUUUAGCUGCCAACCCCAUCUACCUGGAGAAGAUCCUGCUGGACCAGGUGGAUGAUGACGGGCAAAACUCCCUGGAUGAAAAUGCAGUGGAUCCUGGACAACCCUUUGAUGAGCAGGAGGUUUCUAUGAAUAUCUUCCCUGAGGAUAAA